ensembl:lncRNA
GGGAGCAUCUCCCUGUCGAACAACGGGACUGAGAUGGGAAAAGCACUUCUCGAGUGGUCCGUAAAAAUGUUUCAAGUGUAUUCAUACAAAACAGCACCAUUUUCUAAGAACAUGCCUUAUAAACGGUAUUCAAACCAGUUGAAUAAACAUGAGCUGAAAUGCCUUAUGGUGUUUAAACAAAGCAUUUCAGCUUCAUAUCUUAAAGGUGACACCAUCAUUGUGUUACAGUGGAAGAAUCACUAUGAGAGCAAACACCUGGAAAACUCAUUCCACAAUGAGCGCAACACAGCUGCUUUGAGAAAACGACUCAUUCCUCCCAGCAAUACUUUAGUCCUGAUGACCACAUGUUCCACCUGGAAGAACCUGCAUGUGCUCAGAACGGCUGUGAUUCAUCAUCAUCUAUCUGUACUGUAUAAGCACUGGCUGCUCUGGAGGCAGGUGUGUUCGAGGCGGUUCUUGAGAAGUCACCAGGAGUGGUGGUCAUGUGUUUGGUGGGACAGGAGACUCCAGAGCAAAGCCUGGACCCUGUGGACAUUAACCAGGCAGAGGACACAGCUGGCCGCACAUCAGUACAGGUACAGACAAACUGACUCUGUGUCCAGCAGAUAUCAAUGCAGUGUGUUUUCUCAGAUUUUGCUAAAUCUUAUAGAUGAGAUGUGUGCCUUUCGUUUUGUCUUUGUAGGAUGCAUUUGUUAUCAUCACAAUGGAAGGACUGGAAGAUCAGGAACAGUCAGAAGAAGACGGAGAAGUUGAUUCAGUCCAUUCAGAGGAGCAACCUUCUUCACUCCUUCCAUCUCUGGAAGAAAAGAGCAGAAGCCUGUCAAAAAGACAGAGAAAAACAGUUGGUUUUGAGCCGGUAAGAGUCAAUCUGUCUCUCACGUCAUCACCGUGUGUGUCUCCCGUAUGGCUGAUUUUCUACCAUGAAACACCGGAGGCACCAACAUUGUCAGAAAAAAAAAAAAGUGUCAUUAGGGGUACAACUUUAUUGUUUAUCUCAACAGGAAACAGAGUACAAACUAAAAGUCUAAAACAAGACAAAAAAACAAAGACACAUUACAGUCAGUUGCAUCAGUAAAAAAUUAUUUUAAAAAGUCUCACUGGUUGUCACUGGAGCGGUACCUUUUCAAAAGG